rnacentral:lncRNA from 1 species
GCGCGUUUUUUGAAAAAGUAUUUUACUUGUGUUUUAAUGAUCAUAUCACAUUAAAAUAAUUAAAAACUAUUAUUGGCCCAUUCCUACAUUGUAGAAAAAAAGAAAUAAAGUUUAUUUGAGUGAGUUUGAGCGGUCGGCUUUCCGUAGACGACGGCCGGGGCGUAGUCUUGUCAUCAUCGUUGUCGUCAUCGUCGUCGAUUUUUACCAAACAAGCAAACAAGCGUUGGUUGAUAAGCUGCUCUCUCUUUACGGAUAUAUCUUGAGCAUUUUGAGAGCGUUUAAAAUGCAGUCCGGGGUCGCGGACCGACACGGGUCCCCCAGCAAGAGGACUCUUGCCCGGGGGAUGAGCGAGGACGAGUCCCUGCGCAUCAUCAUCUCGGAGACGGAGACCCCAUCCCGGCGGCUCGCCCGCAGCGACAGCCGAAGCGGAACUCUUAAGAGGAAGAGUGGAAGUCAGCAGUGUGAUCAGGACAUUUUCAAGACCCUGCCUGACGUGAUGGAGCUGCAGGCCAGCUACGAGGAGGUGGUGCAGGAGCGGCGGGGCAUGGAGCUGGAGCGCGAGGCGCUGCUGUUCCAGGUGGACGUGCUGCAGGACUCCCUGGAGAGCGUGGAGGAGCUGCUGGCCGAGGCGCACCGGGAGGCCGGCCAGGCCCGCACGGAAGCGGAGCUGGGGAGGAUGACCAAUAGGACGCUGGAGGACAAAGUCAGAGCGCUGACGACUGAAGUGGAGCGACUGAACGAGGAGAGGGACGCCCUAGCUACCCUUCAGAAACACGCGCUCAUUCUGGAGGAGGCAAAGGCCUACAGCACCCUGGACCAGGAGGCACCCAGCACCCUGGCCCUAGCACCCAGCACCCUGGACCAGGAGGCACCCAGCACCCAGGCCCUAGCACCCAGCACCCUGGCUCAGGCCCCCAUCACCCAGGCCCCAGCACCCAGCUCUGAGGAGCCCUGGUCCAGUCCUCUCCAGAAGCUGGCGGACAUCACCCUGUCCAAGAUGAGCACUCUGGCGCUGGUGGACCCCCGCCCCCCCGAGGGGGUGCGGGGCCGGCCGGACGGGUGGCGGCUGGAGGAGGAGGAGGACGAGAGGAACAACGACACAGACAGCGUGGGGGCCUACGAGGACGCCUCGGCCGACACGCCCGACCUCGACCCCCAGGCCUUCCCGGGGCCCGGGGAGGACGACGACGACGAGCGGGACGGGGGGGAGGAGGAGGAGGAGAGGGGGGGCGAGACGGACCCCAGGGACCCCAGGGACCCCAAGGACCAGGACCCGAACAGCUCCUGCGUUCUGUCUUAA